rnacentral:rRNA from 1 species
GAGUUUGAUCUUGGCUCAGAUUGAACGCUGGCGGCAUGCCUUACACAUGCAAGUCGAACGGCAGCAUGAUCUAGCUUGCUAGAUUGAUGGCGAGUGGCGAACGGGUGAGUAAUACAUCGGAACGUGCCCUGUAGUGGGGGAUAACUAGUCGAAAGAUUAGCUAAUACCGCAUACGACCUGAGGGUGAAAGUGGGGGACCGCAAGGCCUCAUGCUAUAGGAGCGGCCGAUGUCUGAUUAGCUAGUUGGUGGGGUAAAGGGCCCGACCAAGGCGACGAUCAGUAGCUGGUCUGAGAGGACGAUCAGCCACACUGGGACUGAGACACGGCCCAGACUCCUACGGGAGGCAGCAGUGGGGAAUUUUGGACAAUGGGCGAAAGCCUGAUCCAGCAAUGCCGCGUGUGUG